UCAGUGGUAUGGCCGCCAGUGCAUGCUCGCGAGUGUAUACGUGCAUGUGGGCGGGUAGUUGAGCAUGGCGAGUAAAUUGGAAAAGGUUGAAAAGAGGGGAAUCCGCCUUCUCUAACGAAGGAGACGGGAGAUCUCCCGUCUCCUUCGGUCCAUGGAGACUCAAAGUCCCUGCACCGCGUCAUUAAACACAACAAUACCGAUAGGUCGGUGCGCAGACGCGAAAGAACGAAGGACACGAUGGGCAUAAAAAACACUUACAGGUCAGGUAAUUGCAUGCGCGACCCGUUGGUCCCAACUGUAUGGAGGUUUUCCCGACCAAAUAUGCUUGAUGAGGAUAG
rnacentral:lncRNA from 1 species